rnacentral:misc_RNA from 1 species
GAUGAAGAACGUAGCGAAAUGCGAUAAGUAAUGCGAAUUGCAGAAUCCGUGAAUCAUCGAAUCUUUGAACGCACAUUGCGCCCGCCAGCAUUCUGGCGGGCAUGCCUGUUCGAGCGUCAUUUCAACCCUCGAGCCCCCCCGGGGGCCUCGGUGUUGGGGGACGGCACACCAGCCGCCCCCGAAAUGCAGUGGCGACCCCGCCGCAGCCUCCCCUGCGUAGUAGCACACACCUCGCACCGGAGCGCGGAGGCGGUCACGCCGUAAAACGCCCAACUUUCUUAGAGUUGACCUCGGAUCAGGUAGGAAUACCCGCUGAACUUAAGCAUAUCAAUAAGCGGAGGA